rnacentral:misc_RNA from 1 species
UCCGGUUUGUCACCGGCAGUCUCAUUAGAGUGCCCUUGCGUAGCAACUAAUGAUAAGGGUUGCGCUCGUUGCGGGACUUAACCCAACAUCUCACGACACGAGCUGACGACAGCCAUGCAGCACCUGUGUUCAGGUUCUCUUUCGAGCACAUCGCCAUCUCUGGCGACUUCCUGACAUGUCAAGGGUAGGUAAGGUUUUUCGCGUUGCAUCGAAUUAAUCCACAUCAUCCACCGCUUGUGCGGGUCCCCGUCAAUUCCUUUGAGUUUUAGCCUUGCGACCGUACUCCCCAGGCGGUACACUAAGCGCUUUUGCUUCGACCCUGUCGGCGUCAGAGCCUCCAAGGUCUAGUGUACAUCGUUUACGGCGUGGACUAC